rnacentral:rRNA from 1 species
UACGUAGGGGGCAAGCGUUAUCCGGAUUUACUGGGUGUAAAGGGAGCGCAGACGGCAGUGCAAGUCUGGAGUGAAAGCCCGGGGCCCAACCCCGGGACUGCUCUGGAAACUGUACGGCUGGAGUACGGGAGGGGCAGGCGGAAUUCCUAGUGUAGCGGUGAAAUGCGUAGAUAUUAGGAGGAACACCGGUUGCGAAGGCGGCUCUCUGGAUUGUAACUGACACUGAGGCACGAAAGCGUGGGGAGCAAACAGG